rnacentral:rRNA from 1 species
UCAGGAUGAACGCUAGCGGCAGGCUUAACACAUGCAAGGUCGAGGGGCAUCGGGAGUAGCAAUACUGCCGGCGACCGGCGCAAGGGUGCGUAACGCGUGAGCAACAUGCCCGUAUCAGGGGGAUAAUCCAUGGAAACGUGGUCUAAUACCCCAUAGUAAUUACGUAAGGCAUCUUAUAUAAUUUAAAGCUUUGGUGGAUACGGAUUGGCUCGCGUGACAUUAGCUGGAUGGUAAGGUAACGGCUUACCAUGGCUACGAUGUCUAGGGGUUCUGAGAGGAAGGUCCCCCACACUGGAACUGAGACACGGUCCAGACUCCUACGGGAGGCAGCAGUGAGGAAUAUUGGACAAUGGAUGGAAAUCUGAUCCAGCCAUGCCGCGUGCAAGGGAAGACGGCCCUAUGGGUUGUAAACUGCUUUUGUAUGGGAGCAAUAAGGGCUACGUGUAGUCCGAUGAGAGUACCAUACGAAUAAGCACCGGCUAACUCCGUGCCAGCCGCAGC